ACGGAAGGCAGCAGUGGGGGAUAUUGCACAAUGGAGGAAACUCUGAUGCAGCAACGCCGCGUGAGGGAAGAAGGUCUUCGGAUUGUAAACCUCUGUUUUUGGUGACGAAACAAAUGACGGUAGCCAAAGAGGAAGCCACGGCCAACUACGUGCCAGCAGCCGCGGUAAUACGUAAGUGGCAAGCGUUGUCCGGAUUUACUGGGUGUAAAGGGUGCGCAGGCGGGACUGCAAGUUGGAUGUGAAAUACCGGGGCUCAACCCCGGAGCUGCAUCCAAAACUGUGGUUCUUGAGUGGAGUAGAGGUAAGCGGAAUUCCGAGUGUAGCGGUGAAAUGCGUAGAUAUUCGGAGGGACACCAGUGGCGAAGGCGGCUUACUGGGCUCUAACUGACGCUGAGGCACGAAAGCACGGGUAGCAAACAGGAUUAGAUACCCUGGUA
rnacentral:rRNA from 1 species